GGACUCAGAUACAGGCCAAUCCUUGGAGCUCAGUGACAGGCCAGUCUUGCCAAGUGGUGGAUUCUGGGUCUCAGUGAGAGAUUUCCUCAAAACCAAUAAUGUGGUGUGUUACAGAGGAAGACAUACUUUGGCCUCCAGCAUAUACAUAUAUAUCAUAUAAUAGACAUAAACAUAGACAUACAUGCACAUGCACAUAUGCACGCAAAUAGACCAAAAGAAGAAAAAAAAGAAGAAGUUACAGUUUCUCCUGUAACUUUCAGUCUGUGGCUCUGAUGAAAACCAACAACACAACAACAAAACAAACAAAUAAAAGCAAAAACAAAAAACACCGUUUUGAGCUAAGAAAAACAAAACCGCAGCUAAUAUCAUUAGCAUGUUAUGUUUCUGCCAAUAGGCACACCACAGGAAUGCCUAGCAAAGAAUUCACUUUUUUUCUUUCUCUGGUUUUGUCUGGAGCUUUCUCAGCAUCACCGUACAUUAGAGAUCAUGCAUGGGUUUUUGUUUGUUUGUUUGUUUUUUAUCACAAAUGCUUUGUCAAAUCGCCUUAUCAUAAUUCACUUUCCAGGUUGUUUUCUUCCUGUCCCUCUCAUGAACUUCAGCACCCAGGGUGAUACCUGAGUUGAUCCAUGCUAACUGUAGUGGAGGGAAGGGAGUAGGAGGCAGAAUGAGGUGGGAGGGAAGCCAUCUUUAGAAGACUCAGGGGCACGAGAGGAGCAACACAAGGAGUUAGAGGUGACUCCACUUAGCCUUAGAGAGUCUUGCCAAACCACUCCAUGUUCUUCGCCUCUUCUCACUUUUCAGGAAUAUUUCUUGGAUCCAUAAAUAGACAGGCGAGACAGUGUGUCAAAUGCCGUAAAAUCCCAGGGAGAAAGAUGGGACGAUACAUAAAUCAGUGUCAUUUCUUAUGUCACUGUUAAUUGCAUCGGCUUCACUCCUGUCUCCCUCAUCCCACACAUCCCUCUCCUCCACUUCUGGAAAGGUACCACUUAGUGGCUCGUUCUCCCUCGAAAUGACAUUAUCAGCCAUCGUGCCCUGUGUCAGAGACAACGCAACAGACUGAAAAUACAGGCAGAGGCAGAGUUCUUCUGAGACAGUGUAAAAAUUUAGUGGAUUUCAUACUUUCUGCCUACACUGAGCCCCUUGUUUUUUGCAUAGGAAGAAAAGAGGAGAUAAACGAAUGACCUUCUUUUUCCUUUUGUAGCGGUGCUUUGGGUUUUUUAAGACGUGGCUGUGGAAAAACAAAAAUAUAAACAAGGCCUAGGAAAUUCUUGCGCAAACACACUUAGGCCUCAAAAAUAACAUUACUCUUGGUUAAACUGCACAAAGCAGCAGCACUUCAUUUGUGCAAGUGUUAGUCAUCGCUUGGCAAUGUCAGGGGGAUACAGAACUCCACCUCACCCAGUCAAUAGCAACUGACAUAGGACACUAUGGUUAGGAAAUUCCCGACAAGCAAAGUGGAAAAGGGAUUACUGGAUACAGCCAAUCACGUGAUUUCUUUGUUCUGCUUCACGUCUUCCUUAUAAAUUCUUGCCGCUGAUAAUUUACCAGAACACUAAAACCUCUUUCAGUCUGGCACUCCCCAGUUCAUAAACUGCUUCCUGUUCAAAUGAACUCUACGGUUUUAUUGCACCUCAGGUAAUUCCGUUUACGUAUAAAAGUAGCUAAUGAGAUAGAAUGGGGACUCAGUGAAUUUUACUCAUUUCCCCUACCACUCACAAAUAGGAAAAGAAGAAAAAAAAUAAAACUAUAUACAUUCUUCCAUGUUUUUAACUUUUAUAUGUUUCCUUUUGUUUUAUAUCUAUGAGUGUUUUCACCUGCAUGAAUGUAUUUGCACCAAAUACAUGUCUGAUGCCCUCAGAAGUCAAACGAGGGCAUUAGUUCUUCUGGACCUGAAGUUCUAGAUGCUUGCAAGCCCACCAUGUGGGUACUAAAUAGCAAACCCAGGUCCUCUGUAAGAGCAACGAAAAAGCUCUUAAAUGCUGAGCCAUCUCUCUAACUCCUCCCAUUUCUUAAAAGAUGUUAAGGGUGAUGUUGGAAAGAAGUCGAACUUUUUAAUAU
rnacentral:lncRNA from 1 species